rnacentral:rRNA from 1 species
UACAGGGGGGGCAAGCGUUGUUCGGAAUUACUGGGCGUAAAGGGCUCGUAGGUGGCCAACUAAGUCAGACGUGAAAUCCCUCAGCUUAACUGGGGAACUGCGUCUGAUACUGGAUGGCUUGAGUUUGGGAGAGGGGAUGCGGAAUUCCAGGUGUAGCGGUGAAAUGCGUAGAUAUCAGGAGGAACACCGGUGGCGAAGGCGGGUCUCUGGGCCGAUACUGACGUGAGGAGCGAAAGCGUGGGGAGCGAACAGG